UCAACUCUGAGACGAUUUACCUGCUCAGGAACGUUUUGAUGCGUUUUCCCAGGAGCAACGAUAAUCAAAGCCGGUUAAGCCAAUCAAUCCUGCAGUUCACUUAUUAUCAAUUUUACUUUGAUGCCAUUCAAACUCAUUUUAUUUAAUUUACCUUCUCAGUUUUAAUAACAGCUUAACUCUGGUUUAGCACCAACAUUGGUUUUUACGUUUAAUCUUGAAAUAUAAACCAACAUUAAAGCUUUUUUUAUUCUAUGAUUAGAAAUCGAAACCUAAAAUUACGAUUUAUUCUGUUGCUUCCAGCUUCAGAAACAGCUAGCAUUGGUCUUUAGUGUAGUUUUAAAAAUCACCUUCAGUUACUCAGACUUCAUUCAAAACUUUGAAAUGAGUCUUAAACGAGUCAGGGAAGCUCAUUUCAGACUGAUGACGGGGAUGCUGAGGAGUCUAGUCGCCAUGCUGUCAUUAGAGGCCUGAUAAUCCCAGUUUGAUUACCUGGUGUUGAGUUUGUCCUGCUGGGCUUUGAUCUCCUUCUCGCUGGGAUGUCCGCUGUGAAUCAGCUGCCUGGCAACCUGGUUUACCACGGCAACCCGUGACGCCUGGCUGUUCAUCUCCGGCUCCAAACUCUCGAACCUGAACAGAGACGAGGCUGAUCAGGAGAACCAGGAUGAGAGGUCAGACGUGUGAGCAGGCGGGCUGCUUUAACUCUCCCAACAACCUAUCAAAGUCGGAUUUUACACCAAAGGUUUGAGCAGCUGGAUCGGGCCAUGGAAAGCUCUCUGGAAAACUCCACCAACGAUGGUUAAUGCAAAAGUAAGGAGUUUAAUCCUGAGGUGGACCUGUUCUCAUCUACAGCUCCGUGUUUUUAUUCCUGCUGCAGAGAUUAAAUUAAACCCGAACUCUUAAAACUCCAGUUUUAAUCAGACUUUCGUUCUUUCACAAAGUUUGUUUUCAUGGGGCGUGCUAUGGGUUUGACUGCUUUUAUAACACAGGUGUGUGUGUCGCUGUAAUUCAACCUGCUAAUAACUAACGGUGACCGGUCCAGGGUGUGUGCCACCUCGUGCCCUGUGGCAGCUCCCGCCCGACCCCGAAGACCAAACAGACAUCCUCAAAACUGUCAGCAGGUUUAACGCUGCAGAGAACCUGCUGGAGUCUGAGUUUGAUUACAGUUUAAGAGCCUUCUGGUCCUCACAA